CGUGCAGGCGGGUAUGCAAGUCUGAUGUGAAAGCCCCGGGCUCAACCUGGGAAGUGCAUUGGAAACUGCAUAUCUUGAGUGCUGGAGAGGAAGGGGGAAUUCCCGGUGUAGAGGUGAAAUUCGUAGAGAUCGGGAGGAAUACCAGUGGCGAAGGCGCCCUUCUGGACGGCAACUGACGCUGAGACGCGAAAGCGUGGGGAGCAAACA
rnacentral:rRNA from 1 species